CUCUCUCUCUCUCUCUCUCUCUCUCUACCUUUCGCUUUGUCCUUUACUAUCGACUCCUCCUCAUUCCUCCAUCUCAUCCUCUCCUUCUCUUUCUUCUGUAAAGCUUUCGCGGCUAUCGAUCGCUCCUUAUGACAUGGGGGUUCAUCGCCAAAGAAGAGACGUUAUCGUGUUUACGUGUGUGACAACUUAGGCGAGAUAUCGAAUCGUCGAGAUACCAAAUGAUGAAAGGAAUCCGAGAAUAAGACGAACGAGAUGAUGCAUCAUAAGACGUCGACGGAGUUUGAGUUUAACACAUGUCGAGCGAAUAUGUUACGAAACGAGAAGAAAGAAGCAAGGAAAGAAAAGAAAAGAAAAGAAAAUAGAAAGAUAAACGAGAAAAGAAAAGGAAAUAACAAAUACAACCAUGAUGAAAACCAUCCAACGGACUAUCCUGUUUGCAAUCAUAUCUUCAAUUCUAUUAGAUCCCAUUGUUGUGUUACUACAAGAAACGAAAUGGAUGGGUUAAAAAUUUGAGUAAAACCACUAACUUAGGAAUUUUUGGCUCGUCUGUACAUUUAUUCGAAAAAAAAAAGAAAAAAAAAGAAAAAAAAAAGAAAGAGAAAAAAUACACAUCUAUCUAUCACGAAUUGAAUUCGAAUCGAUAUCGAGUUGGAAAUUCGAGAUGACGAAAUCCACGACGAGUAGUCAGAAAGUCUCGUAGAAAUUGAUUUCGUGUCGAGACUUUAAAAAAAAGGAACGAGCGACGGACGAACGAUCCGUUUAAAAUUUUGUCGAAUUGAUCGUAAGAAAGGAAGAAAGAAAAAAAAAAGAAAAAAAAAAAAAGAACGAAUGUUCUUCGUUCGUGGUAAAGCUCAACGAUUGUUUCGCAAGUGAAACCAGACGAUGCCAGAGGGAAAGACGAGAAUAUAAGACAUAAUUAACGGAGCUUCUACCGCUGUUGAUUUAUCAAAUUUCCUUGAUUUAUCCGCGACAUUAUCCGUUUCUACAACUUUCUGUUUGCGCAAACUUCGCGUAUUGAGAAGCACACUUGAAACUCUUGAAAGUUCGUAAACUCUCUCUCUCUCUCUCACUCUCUCUCUUUCUCUCUCUUUCUCUUUCUCUCUCUCUCUUUCUCGUUCUCUCUCUCUCUCUUUCUCUCUCAACGUUCCUUCCGAACAGAGGCUUCAACCCAUUUUACUCUUCCAAACUCCCUCUCGACGGAUCAAUACCGAGGAUAUAAUAAAGGUAAACAAGAAUACGAGAUGAAUACUCUACGUAUACACGUUUUACUCGAACGCUCGCAAGUAAAACGCCAAGUAGAAUGAGAAGGAACUGGUAGAUAAAUAAUACAAGAGAUGGUGCAAGCACAGGUGGUUCGAUUCUUUCCAAAAUCAAUAUAUAUAUAUAUAUAUAUAU